AUCUUCGAACAUUCACUACUAUUUCUACUGAAUUAUCAGAAGGCUGACGUUCUUGAAGUAUGCAGAAACCUUGAUGCCUCUGCUGUCAAUUCCGCCUAAUCUUCCGUGAAUCUAUUUUUUGAAUAAUUAGGUCAUCGUUCUUGGACGGUCCCGAUUGUAUCUUGGCGGAUUUGUCUUUGCAACAUCAACGACAAUCAUCCACCCAUUGAUGAUCUGAAAAAGUCAUCGAUCAGCAAUCAGAUAUAGAGAGAGAGAGAGAGAGAGAGAGAGAGAGAGAGUAGACCUAAUCUAGCUGNNNNNNNNNNNNNNNNNNNNGGUGUGGAUAAUAUAUUGUAAAAUGCACUAGUUCUGAUACUUAAAAUCUUUUUAUUUUUCAUAGUCAUACAUCUCGAUGUCUAGAUGAUCAAACAAAGGGUUUUUCAACAUUAAAACUACCUUUUCCCAUGGAUUUUUGAGGGGCAUAUGUAGUUCUACAUUAUAAGGUAACAUCCUUAUAUAAACUUUUUCCAUAAUAGAGAGAAACAUUUAAAUUUUUAAGAGGAGAGAAAAUAUUUUAAAUACGGGCUUGCCACUUUAGGAAAGAGAAAAAAAAUAUUUUUAGCUUGGGGAAUUAUGUGUACUCCUUCUGAUCUCAUAUUAUGUAGAUUGCUUCAUUUUCAAGAAAUAAAAAAAUUUAAGUAUAAUAAAAAUGAAUUAUGAGUUCUUGAAGGCCUCAAUCCAACAACUCAUGAAAUGGAAGGCCUUUCAAUGAGUUCAAAGAAAAGAAUUUGUUGGGGCUUUCCCAAAUUAUUUUUUUAUUUCCAUAUUCUUUUUAAUAGGCUUCUUUGGAGGAUCCAAAAGAAUUUACACGCCAAAUUUGGGAUUUAUUGUUGCAUUUCUUCUUUUACAUCUAUUACAUAGAUUUUAGAUAAGGAUGCAGUUAGCAUGUAGAAAUGAGAAUCCCCUAAUAAAUUUAGUUUUGAAAUAGUUAAUCCUAAUUUUUAAGGAAUAUAUAAUUUUUAACAUAGAGAUCAAGAAUAUAAAUAAAUAAAUAAAUUUGAAAAAUAGAAAUAAUAAUUCUAUCAAGAAAGCAUUUGGACCGUUAGGUUCAAUUGUUUUUAGAUGGACUACCCAUUUGCAUCAAUUUUUAAGAUGGAUGCUUUAUACCUCUAGACCACAUAUUGCACAAAUGUAGUCCAACCCACAUGAAACAAUUAUAAUAAUCACAAUCACUCUUGUCCGUCAAAUUUCAAAUCAGAUAAUCUUUUAUUAGACUAAAUAUUCAAAAAAAAAUUUAUUGACAGAUACCUUAAACCAUCUAAUUUGACAUCUAAUAGCUAAAAGUAUAUUAUAAUAGAGAAAAGAUUUCUUGAACUUCAUGUCAUACCCUAAGCCGUCCGAUUUGAUAUCUAGUAAGUACCUUGUAAUAAGAUAAAGGAUCUCAUAGCAUACAAUUAGAAAGUUUUAUUGGUAUGGAAAUGAUAAAUUAUGCAAAGUUGUAAUUAAAAAAGAAAUAUUUGUUAUUUUCAAAUUUAAAAAAAUAAUCAUAUAUUUAAUAUUUUAUUUUACACUAUUAAGAACUAGGAACCAGAAAGGAGUUGAAAAAACAAAGGAAAUGAGAAUAUUCAAUACUUGAGCACCAGGCCAAAAUUUGGAUCCUCAAAAUCACAACUCAAAAAAUAAAAUAAACCGGCUCCUAAAAUAUGUGUGGUUCGUAUAAGGAAUCACAACUCAAAAAAUAAAAUAAACCAGCUCCUAAAAUAUGUGUGGUUCGUAUAAGGCUGAGGUCCUAAAGAAUCAAAGUAAAGUAAAACGCACCUUUAAAUAGCAUCAAUAUUGAAAAUCUUGAUGAUACCCUCAAAUUUUAUUUUUAUCUCUAAUUACAAAAUUUAAAACUUCAAAAUUAAUAUAGAUCAAAUAAAUCUAUAAACACUUGAAAAUCUUGAAAAUUGACUGUCCAUUAAGUACAUUACAAACUGCACCAUUUCCAAUAAUUAAAAUCCAUUUUUUUUCAUUUUCAUACAUCUUGAGAUCUUGAGAUCAAGAUGAUCAAUUUGAAGAAUUUUAGGCAUCAAAACAACCUCUUCUAGUGCACCUUAAUUCGAUUGUUUAGAGCCUCAUCCUUAUAUAAACGUUUUUCCUGAAACAUUGUAGAGGAUCACUAAAUUUUGGUCCACUCCACCAAUUACUCGUGAUAUAUUAAACCCAAAAAUUGGCUAGUCUUUUGAACUCAAAAUACUGCAAAUAUUUGGAGUUCCCCUUUGAAUAUGCAGUGGGGGAGCUCACAAAAAAUAUACAAAAGCUCGGACCAGGCAAUUUCACAUUCUCCCAUCAACUUAAUAGUAACCCAUCUCUUACAGGAAGAGCUGACAUCUUCGAGCAUUCACUACUAUUUCUAUGCAGAAACCUUGAUGCCUCUGCUGUCAAUUCCGCCUAAUCUUCCGUGAAUCUAUUUUUUGAAUAAUUAGGUCAUCGUUCUUGGACGGUCCCGAUUGUAUCUUGGCGGAUUUGUCUUUGCAACAUCAACGACAAUCAUCCACCCAUUGAUGAUCUGAAAAAGUCAUCGAUCAGCAGUCAGAUAUAGAGAGAGAGAGAGAGAGAGAGAGAGAGAGUAGCCUAAUCUAGC
rnacentral:lncRNA from 1 species